GAUGAACGCUGGCGGCGUGCUUAACACAUGCAAGUCGAACGAGAGAAGAUCGGUGCUUGCACUGAUCCGAUCGAAUGGCGGACGGGUGAGUAACGCGUGGGUAACCUGCCUCAUACAGGGGAAUAACAGUUGGAAACGGCUGCUAAAACCGCAUAAGCGCACAGUAUCGCAUGAUACAGUGUGAAAAACUGCGGUGGUAUGAGAUGGACCCGCGUCUGAUUAGCUAGUUGGUGAGGUAACGGCUCACCAAGGCAAAGAUCAGUAGCCGGCCUGAGAGGGUGAACGGCCACAUUGGGACUGAGACACGGCCCAAACUCCUGCGGGAGGCAGCAGUGGGGAAUAUUGCACAAUGGGGGAAACCCUGAUGCAGCGACGCCGCGUGAGUGAUGAAGUAUUGCGGUAUGUAAAGCUCUAUCAGCAGGGAAGAUAAUGACGGUACCUGACUAAGAAGCACCGGCUAAAUACGUGCCAGCCGCCGCGGUAA
rnacentral:rRNA from 1 species